rnacentral:rRNA from 1 species
UAGAGUUUGAUCCUGGCUCAGGAUGAACGCUAGCUAUAGGCUUAACACAUGCAAGUCGAGGGGCAGCGGGGGUAAAGCUUGCUUUAUCUGCCGGCGACCGGCGCACGGGUGCGUAACGCGUAUCCAAUCUACCCAUUACUCUGGGAUAGCCUUGCGAAAGUAAGAUUAAUACUGGAUAGUCUCAUUUGCCUGCCUGGGUAUUUGAGUAAAGAUUUAUUGGUAAUGGAUGAGGAUGCGUCCCAUUAGCUUGUUGGCGGGGUAACGGCCCACCAAGGCUUCGAUGGGUAGGGGUUCUGAGAGGAAGAUCCCCCACACUGGAACUGAGACACGGUCCAGACUCCUACGGGAGGCAGCAGUGAGGAAUAUUGGUCAAUGGACGGAAGUCUGAACCAGCCAAGUAGCGUGCAGGAUGACGGCCUUAUGGGUUGUAAACUGCUUUUAUAUGAGAGUAAAGGUGCCUACGUGUAGGUAUUUGCAAGUAUCAUAAGAAAAAGGACCGGCUAAUUCCGUGCCAGCAGCCGCGGUAAUACGGAAGGUUCGGGCGUUAUCCGGAUUUAUUGGGUUUAAAGGGAGCGUAGGCGGGAUAUUAAGUCAGUUGUGAAAGUUUGGGGCUCAACCUUAAAAUUGCAGUUGAUACUGAUAUUCUUGAGUGCACAUAAGGAUGGUGGAAUUCGUGGUGUAGCGGUGAAAUGCUUAGAUAUCACGAAGAACUCCGAUUGCGAAGGCAGCUGUCUGGGGUGUAACUGACGCUGAGGCUCGAAAGUGUGGGUAUCAAACAGGAUUAGAUACCCUGGUAGUCCACACUGUAAACGUUGAAUACUCGCUUUUGGUGAUAUACUGCCAGAGGCCAAGCGAAAGCAUUAAGUAUUCCACCUGGGGAGUACGCCGGCAACGGUGAAACUCAAAGGAAUUGACGG